rnacentral:lncRNA from 1 species
AAAAGUAGCAAAACCAGCUGAGGCUUAAUAAGAGGAGGUGGAGUAGGGAUCCAAAGGGCAGAACCACUCCUCACUGCCCACUCCCCACCAUAUCCUGGGCCCUCUUCUGGAGGGGAUGGGUGGAUAAGGGGAAGUGAAUGGUGGCUGGAUCUUCGGUUUUCUUCCCCAGAACAGAGCAGGCUGAGCCCAGCAACCCCAGGAAGCCCACAAAGGGAAAGAUAUAUGAGAUGGGGGUAGGGGAGCACCGGAGCAGUCUCCGAGAGUGCAGGCUAUGGAGACAGCACUCACACCACAGAACAGCCCUCAGCUUGGGGGCCCAGGACCUGGACCACAUCUUCCUGGCCCAUGGCAACCAGGGCAUUCUCUAGCACCUUGUGGGUGGCACCACUGUCUUCUUGGAUAGCCCAGUCCCUCAGCAGUGUGUAGGCUCACACCUGGCCUUGGGCCAUGAUUUCUACAGCCUCAGCUUGGUAGCCCAGAUGGUCUGCCAGUCCCCG